rnacentral:rRNA from 1 species
AUUGAACGCUGGCGGCAGGCCUAACACAUGCAAGUCGAGCGGAUGAAGGGAGCUUGCUCCUGGAUUCAGCGGCGGACGGGUGAGUAAUGCCUAGGAAUCUGCCUGGUAGUGGGGGAUAACGCCCGGAAACGGGCGCUAAUACCGCAUACGUCCUGAGGGAGAAAGUGGGGGAUCUUCGGACCUCACGCUAUCAGAUGACCCUAGGUCGGAUUAGCUAGUUGGUGGGGUAAAGGCCUACCAAGGCGACGAUCCGUAACUGGUCUGAGAGGAUGAUCAGUCACACUGGAACUGAGACACGGUCCAGACUCCUACGGGAGGCAGCAGUGGGGAAUAUUGGACAAUGGGCGAAAGCCUGAUCCAGCCAUGCCGCGUGUGUGAAGAAGGUCUUCGGAUUGUAAAGCACUUUAAGUUGGGAGGAAGGGCAGUAAGUUAAUACCUUGCUGUUUUGACGUUACCAACAGAAUAAGCACCGGCUAACUUCGUG